rnacentral:lncRNA from 1 species
UCCAACUCCGCCCGGCGUCCCGGCAGGGCCUCACGCCGAGCCCGGGGCAGAGCUGGGCGCGACCGGCUCUGACUGCGUCCGGCUCCGGACCCGAGGUACCUUGAGGCCCYGCCAGACGUGGAAACGGAAAGCACUGACCUCCAGGCAUCUUGUUUCGUCAUCAGCGAGUGUUGCCUGGCUUUGGCUGGAUAAAAACGAGCUAAGGAGAGGGACAUCAGACCCAGGGCUGUGUAUUUGAAUGACAAAGAUUGCUCCUCCGCCAGCUGGUUCUGCAUGGAGGAAUGAAUGAAUGAGUGCCCCAAGUGUGCUCUGUCUACA